GUUGAACGCUGGCGGCAUGCCUUACACAUGCAAGUCGAACGGCAGCACGGGAGCAAUCCUGGUGGCGAGUGGCGAACGGGUGAGUAAUAUAUCGGAACGUGCCCAGUAGUGGGGGAUAACUGCUCGAAAGAGCAGCUAAUACCGCAUACGACCUGAGGGUGAAAGGGGGGGAUCGCAAGACCUCUCGCUAUUGGAGCGGCCGAUAUCAGAUUAGCUAGUUGGUGGGGUAAAGGCCUACCAAGGCAACGAUCUGUAGUUGGUCUGAGAGGACGACCAGCCACACUGGGACUGAGACACGGCCCAGACUCCUACGGGAGGCAGCAGUGGGGAAUUUUGGACAAUGGGCGCAAGCCUGAUCCAGCAAUGCCUCGUGCAGGAAGAAGGCCUUCGGGUUGUAAACUGCUUUUAUCAGGGAAGAAAUCCUCUAGGUUAAUACCCUUGGGGGGAUGACGGUACCUGAAGAAUAAGCACCGGCUAACUACGUGCCAGCCGCCGCCGUAACAC
rnacentral:rRNA from 1 species